UCCAGAGGAAGGCUCGUCCGCUCUGGGUUAGUCGGGUCCUAAGCUGAGGCCGACAGGCGUAGGCGAUGGAUAACAGGUUGAUAUUCCUGUACCACCAUUAUUCGUUUUAAGCGAUGGGGGGACGCAGUAGGAUAGGCGAAGCGUGCUGUUGGAGUGCACGUCCAAGCAGUGAGAUUGAGUGUUAGGCAAAUCCGGCACUCUUAAGAUUGAGCUGUGAUGGGGAGAGGAACUUGUUCCUCGAGUCGUUGAUUUCACACUGCCGAGAAAAGCCUCUAGCUAGAAUAACGGUGCCCGUACCGCAAACCGACACAGGUAGUCAAGAUGAGAAUUCUAAGGUGAGCGAGCGAACUCUCGUUAAGGAACUCGGCAAAAUGACCCCGUAACUUCGGGAGAAGGGGUGCUCUUUGAGGUUCACGCUUCGAAGAGCCGCAGUGAAUAGGCCCAAGCGACUGUUUAUCAAAAACACAGGUCUCUGCUAAACCGUAAGGUGACGUAUAGGGGCUGACGCCUGCCCGGUGCUGGAAGGUUAAGAGGAGUGGUUAGCGCAAGCGAAGCUACGAAUCGAAGCCCCAGUAAACGGCGGCCGUAACUAUAACGGUCCUAAGGUAGCGAAAUUCCUUGUCGGGUAAGUUCCGACCCGCACGAAAGGCGUAACGAUUUGGGCACUGUCUCAACGAGAGACUCGGUGAAAUCAUAGUACCGGUGAAGAUGCCGGUUACCCGCGACAGGACGGAAAGACCCCGUGGAGCUUUACUGUAGCCUGAUAUUGAAAUUCGGUACAGUUUGUACAGGAUAGGUAGGAGCCUUAGAAGCGUGAGCGCUAGCUUACGUGGAGGCAUUGGUGGGAUACUACCCUAAUUGUAUUGGAUUUCUAACCCGCAGCACUUAUCGUGCUGGGAGACAGUGUCAGGCGGGCAGUUUGACUGGGGCGGUCGCCUCCUAAAGAGUAACGGAGGCGCUCAAAGGUUCCCUCAGAAUGGUUGGAAAUCAUUCAUAGAGUGUAAAGGCAUAAGGGAGCUUGACUGCGAGACCUACAAGUCGAGCAGGGUCGAAAGACGGACUUAGUGAUCCGGUGGUUCCGCAUGGAAGGGCCAUCGCUCAACGGAUAAAAGCUACCCCGGGGAUAACAGGCUUAUCUCCCCCAAGAGUUCACAUCGACGGGGAGGUUUGGCACCUCGAUGUCGGCUCAUCGCAUCCUGGGGCUGUAGUCGGUCCCAAGGGUUGGGCUGUUCGCCCAUUAAAGCGGUACGCGAGCUGGGUUCAGAACGUCGUGAGACAGUUCGGUCCCUAUCCGUCGUGGGCGUAGGAAAUUUGAGAGGAGCUGUCCUUAGUACGAGAGGACCGGGAUGGACAUACCUCUGGUGUACCAGUUGUCGUGCCAACGGCAUAGCUGGGUAGCUAUGUAUGGACGGGAUAAGUGCUGAAAGCAUCUAAGCAUGAAGCCCCCCU
rnacentral:rRNA from 1 species